rnacentral:rRNA from 1 species
UACGAAGGGGGCUAGCGUUGUUCGGAUUUACUGGGCGUAAAGCGCACGUAGGCGGAUCGUUAAGUCGGGGGUGAAAUCCUGGAGCUCAACUCCAGAACUGCCUUCGAUACUGGCGAUCUCGAGUUCGGGAGAGGUGAGUGGAACUGCGAGUGUAGAGGUGAAAUUCGUAGAUAUUCGCAAGAACACCAGUGGCGAAGGCGGACUCACUGGCCCGAGUACUGACGCUGAGGUGCGAAAGCGUGGGAGCAACAGGGAUAA